GACGAACGCUGGCGGCGUGCUUAACACAUGCAAGUCGAGCGAAUGGAAGGGAGCUUGCUCCCUGAAGUUAGCGGCGGACGGGUGAGUAACACGUGGGCAACCUGCCUGUAAGACUGGGAUAACUUCGGGAAACCGGAGCUAAUACCGGAUACGUUCUUUCCUCGCAUGAGGAAAGAUGGAAAGAUGGUUUCGGCUAUCACUUUCAGAUGGGCCCGCGGCGCAUUAGCUAGUUGGUGGGGUAAUGGCCUACCAAGGCGACGAUGCGUAGCCGACCUGAGAGGGUGAUCGGCCACACUGGGACUGAGACACGGCCCAGACUCCUACGGGAGGCAGCAGUAGGGAAUCUUCCGCAAUGGACGAAAGUCUGACGGAGCAACGCCGCGUGAGCGAAGAAGGCCUUCGGGUCGUAAAGCUCUGUUGUCAGGGAAGAACAAGUGCCAGAGUAACUGCUGGCACCUUGACGGUACCUGACCAGAAAGCCACGGCUAACUACGUGCCAGCCGCCGCCGUAA
rnacentral:rRNA from 1 species